rnacentral:lncRNA from 1 species
CUUUCCAUCUCCCCGGCUGCCAUACACGGUAAUUGACAGGUGCCAGCUUCUCGAUCACCUCGUAUGGCCCGUGCCAUGUUGCCAAGAACUUACUUUCAGCCGUGGGGCUCAAGACCACCCUGUCAAGACACCCUGUCUCCCACCUGGAAUUCUCGGGACUGGGCUCCCCGACUGUAGGCUUGGGCGCAUUGGGCCUUCCCCAUAUGUUCCCUCACGACUGGCCAUAUGGCUGUCAUCCGCUCCCUCAUCGUCUCCACGUGCUCUACCACGCUGCGUAAUGAGGUCGGUUGGGCUUCCCACACCUCCUUGGCGAGGUCCAGUAGGUCUGUUUGGCCUCCUCCCGUAGAGGAGUUCAAACGGGGAAAACCCAGUGGAGGACUGGGGUACCUCUCGGAUUGAGAACAUUAGGUGGGGUGGUAGCUGGUCCCAGUUCUUCCCAUCCUGCUCGAUGACCUUCCGCAGCAUUUGUUUGAGCGUUUUAUUGCAGCGCUCGACGAGCCCAUCCGUCUGCGGGUGAAAGACAGAGGUCUGGAUCUGCUUGAUCUGCAGGAGGGCACACAACUCUUUUAUUAGGCGGGACAUAAACUCAGUACCUUGGUCUGUCAGGAUCUUGUUUGGGAUGCCCACCCGGCUAAAGAGGUGGAACAGCUCCCAGGCGAUUCCCUUGGAUACCGCCGCCUGUAGGGUAAUGGCCUCGGGAUACCGGGUGGCAAAGUCUACUAUUAUCAGGAUGUACCAGUGUCCUCGUGCUGUUUUUACCAGGGGUCCCACUAUGUCCAUUGCGAUGCGUCCAAGGGCACCCCGAUGAUCGGUAGGGGGACCAGUGGGUUUCGGAAGUGUGCCUUUGGCACUCCGGGCAACUGCGACAGUCGUCUUCCACGGCCCUCCUUAUCCCGGACCAGUGGAACCGGUGGCGAUCCGUUCCCGGGUCUUCUCCAUUCCCAGGUGCGCCCCCAACAGGUGGACCAGCUGAAGAACGGUUCCCACGUACCGUCGGGGUAGCAACAAUAUCUCUUGAAGUUCCCCCUGUUGGUGCGACACCUGACACAAAAGGUUAUUCUUGAUUUGGAAAUAGGGGUAUCGCCAGUCACUCACCCCCGGAAGUAGCUGUCCAUCCACCGUUAUCACUUGGGCUGCAGCGGCUUUGAAGUUAGGAUCCUCCCACUGGACCGUCCCGAAUUGUCCCCUCAGUUGGCCCCCAGACUGGCCCCUCGAAAUCGAGGAGGGGGAGGCUGGGCUCUUCCUCCCGUGGUUCCCCAGUGGGGUCAGGUUCCAGCACCCCCUCCGACUCCAGCUCCGGACCCGUAGAUACAGGUUGGUCAACCGUUUGCUUCCGGGCCGCACAGGCGAUGGGUCAUCCUCGCUCUUGUCUUCGGCCAGCUCGUACCUUCUUCCUCAGCUCGUGCCCCCACAGGGCCGCAAACAGCGGACAAUCUCAUCCCACUAGGAGAGGUACCGGCAACUCUGGUACUGCACCCACCAUCAUCUGGCAGCUCCUUUGGGGCGUCACAAUGUUGGCCCGUAUGGUUGGAUACCGCUUUGUGUCCCCAUGAACACAGGAAAUUGACAUCUCCCUACCACGUUCGGUCUCCUGGUUCAGCAGGCACAUGGUUACGAGGGUAACCAUACUUCCGGAGUCCAAUAGAGCUUCCGUGUCGUGCCCUUCUGCCCUUCUGGCAGCUUUAUGGGCCUUGCACAGCUGGUGAGCAAUCAGCCCUUGAUUACUCACCAACUCCCAAUCAGCCCCAAUUAGUCCUGGACGGAGAGCCCGUCGAGAUCUGGCAUGUCCAGCCAAUGGAGCCAUCGCCUCGUGACGUACACUCUGUCUGUCACCAGGCCUCGACGAGUCUCCCCCUGGUGGCUGACCUGCUGUACGCCACAAUGAAUACAACAGUAUAUAUAGCAUGUUAACAUAGAGAUAUAUAUAUAUAAACUAUACAACAGUAUAUAUAGCAUGUUAACAUGGGAAUAUAUAUCAUCUAUAAAUGAAUAUAACAGUCUAUAUGGGUCCAGUGUUGGUUUCUUGAGGAUGGAAGCGACUCGGGCCAUCUUGAAGUCAGUUGUCAGGGAUGAGUUGGUGAGGGAAGUGAGGAAUGGGAGAAGGUCUCCAGAGAUGAGUUGAUGAAGGAAGUGAGAAGGUCUCCAGAGAUGGUGUGGAGAAGGGAAUGGGGAUGAGUUGAUGAGGGAAGUAAGAAGGUCUCCAGAGAUGGUGUGGAGAAGUGAGGAGGGAAUGGGGUUGAGUUGAUGAGGGAAGUUAGGAAGGGGAGGUCUCCAGAGAUGGUCUGGAGAAGGGAAGAGGGAAUGGGGUUGAGUUGAUGAGGGAAGUGAGGAAGGGGAGGUCUCCAGAGAUGGUCUAGAGAAGGGAGGAGGGGUUGAGUGGGCAGGUUGUCGGGCGGACGGACAUCACUAAUCGCAGGAUUUUAUCUGGAGUGAGAGGGGAGAAAGAGGUCAAGGCGUAUGGUAGUUAUGGAGAGAGAGGGGAGAAUGAGGUCAAGGCGUAUGGUAGUUAUGGAGAGAGAUGGGAGAAAGAGGUCAAGGCGUAUGGUAGUUAUGGAGAGAGAGGGGAGAAAGAGGUCAAGGCGUAUGGUAGUUAUGGAGAGAGAGGGGAGAAAGAGGUCAAGGCGUAUGGUAGUUAUGGAGAGAGAGGGGAGAAAGAGGUCAAGGCGUAUGGUAGUUAUGGAGAGAGAGGGGAGAAAGAGGUCAAGGCGUAUGGUAGUUAUGGAGAGAGAUGGGAGAAAGAGGUCAAGGCGUAUGGUAGUUAUGGAGAGAGAUGGGAUAAAGAGGUCAAGGCGUAGGGUAGUUAUGGAGAGAGAGGGGAGAAAGAGGUCAAGGCGUAUGGUAGUUAUGGAGAGAGAGGGGAGAAAGAGGUCAAGGUGUAUGGUAGUUAUGGAGAGAGAGGGGAGAAAGAGGUCAAGGUGUAUGGUAGUUAUGUGUGAGUGGGACCAGUGGACUCAGUAGGCUGAGUGAAUGAGGAGCAGAUGCCCUCUAGUGACCACUAUUCCAACACUAUAGUCAAUUACUUUGGGCCAAAGUCUCCCAAAGCUGUCUAAUACAUCUGGUCUAAAGUAGUGCACUAGGAAGGGAACAGGGCUCUGGUCUAAAGUAGUGCACUAUGAAGGGAACAGGGCUCUGGUCUAAAGUAGUGCACUAUGAAGGGAACAGGGCUCUGGUCUACAGUAGUGCACUAUGAAGGGAACAGGGCUCUGGUCUACAGUAGUGCACUAUGAAGGGAACAGGGCUCUGGUCUACAGUAGUGCACUAUGAAGGGAACAGGGCUCCGUAGAGGAAUUUGGUGCCAUUUUAGAUUGGCCCUGUG